AAUGGACGCAAGUCUGACCCAGCCAUGCCGCGUGAAGGAUGAAUGUCCUAUGGAUUGUAAACUUCUUUUAUGCAGGAAAAACAUCUCGGUCGUGAACCGGGACUGAUGGUACUGUAUGAAUAAGCAUCGGCUAACUCCGUGCCAGCAGCCGCGGUAAUACGGAGGAUGCAAGCGUUAUCCGGAUUCAUUGGGUUUAAAGGGUGCGCAGGCGGAAUGAUAAGUCAGUGGUGAAAUCUCCCGGCUCAACCGGGAAACUGCCAUUGAUACUGUCGUUCUUGAGUACAGUUGAAGUGGGCGGAAUGUGUCAUGUAGCGGUGAAAUGCUUAGAUAUGACACAGAACACCGAUAGCGAAGGCAGCUCACUAAGCUGUAACUGACGCUCAUGCACGAAAGCGUGGGGAUCAAA
rnacentral:rRNA from 1 species